rnacentral:rRNA from 1 species
AUUGAACGCUGGCGGAAUGCUUUACACAUGCAAGUCGAACGGCAGCACGGACUUCGGUCUGGUGGCGAGUGGCGAACGGGUGAGUAAUACAUCGGAACGUGCCCAGUCGUGGGGGAUAACGUAGCGAAAGCUACGCUAAUACCGCAUACGAUCUAAGGAUGAAAGCGGGGGAUCGCAAGACCUCGCGCGACUGGAGCGGCCGAUGGCAGAUUAGGUAGUUGGUGGGGUAAAGGCUCACCAAGCCGACGAUCUGUAGCUGGUCGGAGAGGACGACCAGCCACACUGGGACUGAGACACGGCCCAGACUCCUACGGGAGGCAGCAGUGGGGAAUUUUGGACAAUGGGCGCAAGCCUGAUCCAGCCAUUCCGCGUGCAGGAUGAAGGCCCUCGGGUUGUAAACUGCUUUUGUACGGAACGAAAAGGCUCUGGUUAAUACCUGGGGCUCAUGACGGUACCGUAAGAAUAAGCACCGGCUAACUACGUGCCAGCCGCCGCUGUAAAAC